rnacentral:rRNA from 1 species
CAUGCUGAAAAUCCCGACUUCGGAAGGGAUGUGUUUAUUAGAUAAAAAACCAAUGCCCUUCGGGGCUCUUUGGUGAUUCAUGAUAACUUUACGGAUCGCAUAGCCUUGCGCUGGCGACGGUUCAUUCAAAUUUCUGCCCUAUCAACUUUCGAUGGUAAGGUAUUGGCUUACCAUGGUUUCAACGGGUAACGGGGAAUUAGGGUUCGAUUCCGGAGAGGGAGCCUGAGAAACGGCUACCACAUCCAAGGAAGGCAGCAGGCGCGCAAAUUACCCAAUCCCGACACGGGGAGGUAGUGACAAUAAAUACUGAUACAGGGCUCUUUUGGGUCUUGUAAUUGGAAUGAGUACAAUUUAAACCUCUUAACGAGGAACAAUUGGAGGGCAAGUCUGGUGCCAGCAGCCGCGGUAAUUCCAGCUCCAAUAGCGUAUAUUAAAGUUGUUGCAGUUAAAAAGCUCGUAGUUGAAACUUGGGCCUGGCUGGCGGGUCCGCCUCACCGCGUGCACUCGUCCGGCCGGGCCUUCCUUCUGAAGAACCUCAUGCCCUUCACUGGGCGUGUUGGGGAAUCAGGACUUUUACUUUGAAAAAAUUAGAGUGUUCAAAGCAGGCCUUUGCUCGAAUACGUUAGCAUGGAAUAAUAAAAUAGGGCGUGCGUUUCUAUUUUGUUGGUUUCUAGAGACGCCGCAAUGAUUAACAGGAACAGUCGGGGGCAUCAGUAUUCAGUUGUCAGAGGUGAAAUUCUUGGAUUUACUGAAGACUAACUACUGCGAAAGCAUUUGCCAAGGAUGUUUUCAUUAAUCAGUGAACGAAAGUUAGGGGAUCGAAGACGAUCAGAUACCGUCGUAGUCUUAACCGUAAACUAUGCCGACUAGGGAUCGGGCGAUGUUCUUUUUCUGACUCGCUCGGCACCUUACGAGAAAUCAAAGUUU